rnacentral:rRNA from 1 species
GUAGGUGAACCUGCGGAAGGAUCAUUGUCGAUGCCUGCNCAACAGAUAGACCCGCGAACAUGUUACACACUACGAUCGGGGGGCGGGGCGUGGGGGUAUAUGAGCCCCUUCCUCCCUAAUCCCCGUUCAGUCGGUCGGCUUAUAUGGUCUUCCGAUCCAACAAUACAAUCGGCGUGAUUGGCGCCAAGGAACUCAUAACGGAAUGGGCGUGCACCGUCGUGCCUUUCGUGCGGCGUGUCCUCUUUAAUCCGAAUCUCACAAACGACUCUCGGCAACGGAUAUCUCGGCUCUCGCAUCGAUGAAGAACGUAGCGAAAUGCGAUACUUGGUGUGAAUUGCAGAAUCCCGUGAACCAUCGAGUCUUUGAACGCAAGUUGCGCCCCAGGCCAUCAGGCCGAGGGCACGUCUUGCCUGGGCGUCACUCACCGCGUCGCCCCCCUCUGCCGUCCCUAUGUCGGUGGAGUUCGGANCGGAGAUUGGCCCCCCAUGCCGCUAGCGUGGCUGUGGUCGGCCCAAAGGAAAGCCCCUGUGUGGCGAGCGUCACGAAGAGUGGUGGUCGAAGCCACUUUGCCAUAGUCCGGACUUCGUGUGCGUUUCGCCUCCCUCGGGAUCAAUGGACCCUGUCGUCGUCCCGUGACGACGCUCCGACUGCGACCCCAGGUCAGGCGGGGCUACCCGCUGAGUUUAAGCAUAUCAAUA